rnacentral:rRNA from 1 species
GAGUUUGAUCAUGGCUCAGAUUGAACGCUGGCGGCAGGCCUAACACAUGCAAGUCGAACGGUAACAGGAAGCAGCUUGCUGCUUCGCUGACGAGUGGCGGACGGGUGAGUAAUGUCUGGGAAGCUGCCUGAUGGAGGGGGAUAACUACUGGAAACGGUAGCUAAUACCGCAUAAUGUCGCAAGACCAAAGAGGGGGACCUUCGGGCCUCUUGCCAUCGGAUGUGCCCAGAUGGGAUUAGCUUGUUGGUGGGGUAACGGCUCACCAAGGCGACGAUCCCUAGCUGGUCUGAGAGGAUGACCAGCCACACUGGAACUGAGACACGGUCCAGACUCCUACGGGAGGCAGCAGUGGGGAAUAUUGCACAAUGGGCGCAAGCCUGAUGCAGCCAUGCCGCGUGUAUGAAGAAGGCCUUCGGGUUGUAAAGUACUUUCAGCGGGGAGGAAGGGAGUAAAGUUAAUACCUUUGCUCAUUGACGUUACCCGCAGAAGAAGCACCGGCUAACUCCGUGCCAGCAGCCGCGGUAAUACGGAGGGUGCAAGCGUUAAUCGGAAUUACUGGGCGUAAAGCGCACGCAGGCGGUUUGUUAAGUCAGAUGUGAAAUCCCCGGGCUCAACCUGGGAACUGCAUCUGAUACUGGCAAGCUUGAGUCUCGUAGAGGGGGGUAGAAUUCCAGGUGUAGCGGUGAAAUGCGUAGAGAUCUGGAGGAAUACCGGUGGCGAAGGCGGCCCCCUGGACGAAGACUGACGCUCAGGUGCGAAAGCGUGGGGAGCAAACAGGAUUAGAUACCCUGGUAGUCCACGCCGUAAACGAUGUCGACUUGGAGGUUGUGCCCUUGAGGCGUGGCUUCCGGAGCUAACGCGUUAAGUCGACCGCCUGGGGAGUACGGCCGCAAGGUUAAAACUCAAAUGAAUUGACGGGGGCCCGCACAAGCGGUGGAGCAUGUGGUUUAAUUCGAUGCAACGCGAAGAACCUUACCUGGUCUUGACAUCCACGGAAGUUUUCAGAGAUGAGAAUGUGCCUUCGGGAACCGUGAGACAGGUGCUGCAUGGCUGUCGUCAGCUCGUGUUGUGAAAUGUUGGGUUAAGUCCCGCAGCGAGCGCAACCCUUAUCCUUUGUUGCCAGCGGUCCGGCCGGGAACUCAAAGGAGACUGCCAGUGAUAAACUGGAGGAAGGUGGGGAUGACGUCACGUCACCAUGGCCCUUACGACCA